AUGGCACCGGCGUGCGCCCAUGCUCGGAGACGGGGUACCAGUCAGGCAGCGAUUUCCACGGACGAUGGCGACGAUCGUCACCGUGACGGCGAGGGUCUCCGGAGGCACGCACGGCAACUAGGAAGAUCCCGAGCCACAAUACUCAAUGCUCCUUCCGCGUACCCAUUUACGCAGAGCCCUACUAUCAAAUGGGAUACGACAACUGAUAAAGCUUCCUCAGGGAAGGCAGCCACAGUCAUGACAGAGAUACAACAAACAUUGUUGAGAUAUGCAAUGCAUACUUGGAAGGUUCUAGAAAUAUGA
rnacentral:rRNA from 1 species